UAUUUAAAAUAACAUUAAUUUUAUAUAGCUCUAUAUAAAUAUAUCCAAUAAUAAAUAUAUUUCUAUAAAAUAUAAUUUUUUAUAUUUAUUAUUAUAAAAAUUCAGUGAUAUUUAUAUUUGUCUUUCUGUUUUGUUACCAUUAGAGUACUAUUUAUUUUCUAAUAGAAAAUAAGUGAAAUGACAUUUUUGUUAUCGUAAAUACGUCCAUCCAAAAGCGUCAACUAUUAGAAUUAUGUAGAAAUAACUUUCUAAAAAUUUUCAACGAAUAUUUUCUUCUUUUCUACCAUCACAAAUAAUAUAAGAGAGGGAAAAAGGUCAAUUUAUCUCAUUCAAUUUCGAUAGUAUAGUAGCUCUACUUUAUAUAGUGUAGAACUAUUAUACUGUCGGAAGUAUAGAGGACUUAGGCUUCGUUUGGGAUUGUGGAAAGAUUGCGUUACGUGCGGUGAGAAAAUACGUUGGAAAAAUACCCAGUUUGUUUCCGUACGUAAUAUUGCGUUCCGCAUAUCGUGAUGUGUCGAUUACGAUAUAUUUUCUGCGGUCCCGUCGGAGAACGUAGAAGCAUAUUCCUAUGUUUUUUCCUCAACUCCAUUUUAUCUAACAGCAUUAAAUAGAUCUCAAUACCAAGCUAAGCCUUAGUACUUCCGACUUUUUGGCCCUUUGGAUCAAGGAUUGUACAGUUUGGAUGAUUGCAGCCCUCCUAGGAUUGAGUGGUCCCCAUGAGGUAAUAAUAUUAAUCCAUAAUUUUUCGAUAUCAUUUAUCAAGUGGUCAAAAAAUUUAAAAAAUUAUUUAAAAUACAAUUUAGUUACAAGUUAUUAUUUGUAAACAGCAAAAAAAAUUUCAAAUAUCACUAAGGGCAAUUUUGCAAUAGGUUAUACUUUAUUGUCAGAAUUAUUAAAUUUUAUAAAAUGAAACGAAACAUAUUAUUUCUAUAUACACUGUAAUUCAACAUUAUAUUACUGAUUAA
rnacentral:lncRNA from 1 species